ACGGAGGGGGCUAGCGUUGUUCGGAAUUACUGGGCGUAAAGCGCACGUAGGCGGGCUGUUAAGUCAGUGGUGAAAUCCCGAGGCUCAACCUCGGAAUUGCCUUUGAUACUGGCAGCCUUGAGUUCGAGAGAGGUGAGUGGAAUUCCGAGUGUAGAGGUGAAAUUCGUAGAUAUUAGGAAGAACACCAGUGGCGAAGGCGACUUUCUGGACUGUAACUGACGCUGAGGCAUGAAAGCGUGGGUAGCAAACA
rnacentral:rRNA from 1 species